rnacentral:rRNA from 1 species
UACGAGUGCCUCGAGCGUUAUCCGGAAUCAUUGGGCGUAAAGGGUGCGUAGGCGGCGAUGUUAGUCUCCCGUAAAAUCUUUCGGCUCAACCGAGAGUCCGCGGGAGAUACGGCAUUGCUAGAGGAUGGUAGGGGUCUCUGGAACUCAUGGUGUAGCGGUGAAAUGCGUUGAUAUCAUGGGGAACACCAAAAGCGAAGGCAAGAGACUGGACCACUCCUGACGCUGAAGCACGAAAGCGUGGGUCGCGAAUGGG